rnacentral:lncRNA from 1 species
GACACCCACAGGGCCCUCCAACUCCUUCACGGUGGAGGCUGCAGCCUGAACGGAGCCAAUCGCUGGUAUGACAAGUCCCUGCAGUUCGUGGUGGGCCGAGAUGGCACCUGCGGUGUGGUGUGUGAGCAUUCUCCAUUUGAUGGCAUCGUCCUGGUGCAGUGCACAGAGCACCUGCUGAAACAUAUGAUGACAAGCAACAAGAAGCUCGUCAGGGCUGACUCAGUGAGUGAGCUCCCUGCCCCCAGAAGGCUGAGGUGGAAAUGUUCCCCAGAAACCCAAGGCCAUCUCGCCUCCUCAGCAGAGAAACUUCAAAGAUCUUGUUCAGGCUUUACCAGAGACUGGUGCCCACCUAUGAGAGCGCAUCCAUCCGCCGCUUCCAGGAAGGUCGGGUGGACAACAUCAGAUCAGCCACUCCAGAGGCUCUGGCUUUUGUGCAAGCCAUGACUGACCACAAGGCUGCCAUGCCGGCUUCUGAGAAACUGCAGCUGCUGCAGACAGCCAUGCAGGCCCAGACUGAGUACACAGUCAUGGUGAGUGGCCAUU